GUGAACUCGUAAGGAAUGUUGGCGAGAGGACCUCUCUGGCAUGCAAGCUCGUGGAUGUCCUUCACGAUGUCAAAAACUGCAUCGGGUUGUGCAAGUUUAAGUGCAUUCUCUGAUAUAGUUUUGCGCUCAUCCUCUUUGGUGCUAAACCACUCUGCAACAAUCCGGGCUGUUUCCUUGGGGCUUCGUGUGAAAACACCAGCUCCAUUGUCCACAAC
rnacentral:misc_RNA from 1 species